rnacentral:rRNA from 5 species
UCUCGGCUCUUGCAUCGAUGAAGAACGUAGUGAAAUGCGAUACUUGGUGUGAAUUGCAGAAUCUCGUGAACCAUUGAGUCUUUGAACGCAAGUUGUGCCCGAGGCCUUGUGGUCGAGGGCACGCCUGCUUGGGCGUCAUGGCAUCGUCGCCUUUGCUCCUUGCUU